CAGACGUUAUUUCUAGAAGAUAAUUCGGCGUCGGACGAUAUGACUAUGACUAGUAGAUCUUUAUCACGUGUCCGAAUGUCAUUAAGUCGGAGCUGUUCAUGCGGAUAACGGUGAUGUGGCUUGAUCAAAAGCAGGUGUGUUGAACCGUCCGAUCAAUAGUCGGCUCAGAUGUCACCACAUGUCAACAUAUGGUAAGACUCUGAUUUCGUUGUUUCGAUUCUGAUCGUUGAGGGAUCCUGUUGCCCAGCUAUGCAACCCAAG
rnacentral:lncRNA from 1 species